rnacentral:rRNA from 1 species
GGACCUGACUGCUAUCGGAUUGAUACUAAGCCAUGCGAGUCAUUGUAGCAAUACAAGGCAUACGGCUCAGUAACGCGUAGUCAACCUAACCUAUGGACGGGAAUAACCUCGGGAAACUGAGAAUAAUGCCCGAUAGAACAUUAUGCCUGGAAUGGUUUAUGUUCCAAAUGAUUUAUCGCCGUAGGAUGGGACUGCGGCCUAUCAGUUUGUUGGUGAGGUAAUGGCCCACCAAGACUAUUACAGGUACGGGCUCUGAGAGGAGUAGCCCGGAGAUGGGUACUGAGACACGGACCCAGGCCCUAUGGGGCGCAGCAGGCGAGAAAACUUUGCAAUGUGCGAAAGCACGACAAGGUUAAUCCGAGUGGUUUCUGCUAAAGAAACCUUUUGUCGAGUCCUAGAAACACUGAUGAAUAAGGGGUGGGCGAGUUCUGGUGU